AGCGAACGCUGGCGGCAGGCCUAACACAUGCCAGUCGAACGAACCUUUCGGGGUUAGUGGCGGACGGGUGAGUAACACGUGGGAACGUGCCUUUAGGUUCGGAAUAACUCAGGGAAACUUGUGCUAAUACCGAAUGUGCCCUUCGGGGGAAAGAUUAAUCGCCUUUAGAGCGGCCCGCGUCUGAUUAGCUAGUUGGUUGAGGUAAUGGCUCACCAAGGCGACGAUCAGUAGCUGGUCUGAGAGGAUGAUCAGCCACAUUGGGACUGAGACACGGCCCAAACUCCUACGGGAGGCAGCAGUGGGGAGUCUUGCGCAAUGGGCGAAAGCCUGACGCAGCCAUGCCGCGUGAAUGAUGAAGGUCUUAGGAUUGUAAAAUUCUUUCACCGGGGACGAUAAUGACGGUACCCGGAGAAGAAGCCCCGGCUAACUUCGUG
rnacentral:rRNA from 1 species